ACAAAACACUGCGCAUGCGCAGCACGACGCUAAUACCUGCGUUUGAGUCUAAUACGCGAUGUUGCGCAUGCGCACUAUUGAUAAGAGAGCUUCUGACACGCUCUGCGCAUGCGCGGAAUGAGCAAGACUCUGCGCAAAUCACUGCGCAUGCGUCAAAAUCCGGGAAGCUGCGCAUGCGCGGUAGUCGCAACGUCUUAGGGCACGCAGUGCGCAUGCGCGCAGCAGACCUACGCGCCAUGCGCAUGCGCAGAAAAGGAGUUGAGACAGCUAGGCAACGCGCAUGCGUCUUUUCCCUCAAUAAGCAGCACGCCGUGCGCAUGCGCACGCCGCUGCACUUCCGGUCGAGAGCGGAAGUGCUGAAGGCGGCUCUGUUUCAAAAUGGCGGCGCCCUGUUGGCCACGUGGAGGCGGCGGCGCUGCGGAUCAUUGAAAUCAAUGGGCUGCAAUUCUCCUAACGGCCACCAGGUGGCGCUGCGGAUCAUUGAAGUCAAUGGGCUGCAAUUCUCUUAACGGCCACCAGGUGGCGCUGCGGAUCAUUGAAAUCAAUGGGCUGCAAUUCUCCUGACGGCCACCAGGGCACCCGGGUUUGGAUCCCUGACCCUGAGGAGGUUUGGAAGUCAGCAGAGAUCAGCCAGGAUUACAAAGAAGGCGAUCGGAGCCUCCAUCUACAGUUGGAAGAUGGCACUGUAAGGAAAGUCCUCCAAAACUCUAUGGUUCCCCAUGAACUUUCUUGGUCCUCCAAAUCUCUAUGGUUCCCCAUGGAUUUCCUUGGUCCUCCAACUCUCUAUGGUUUCCCAUGGAUCUCCACAGUCCUCCAAAUCUCUAUGGUUCCCCAUGGAUUUCCUUGGUCCUCCAACUCUCUAUGGUUUCCCAUGGAUCUCCACAGUCCUCCAAAUCUCUAUGGUUCCCCAUGGAUUUCCUUGGUCCUCCAACUCUCUAUGGUUUCCCAUGGAUCUCCACAGUCCUCCAAAUCUCUAUGGUUCCCCAUGGAUUUCCUUGGUCCUCCAACUCUCUAUGGUUUCCCAUGGAUCUCCACAGUCCUCCAAAUCUCUAUGGUUCCCCAUGGAUUUCCUUGGUCCUCCAACUCUCUAUGGUUUCCCAUGGAUCUCCACAGUCCUCCAAAUCUCUAUGGUUCCCCAUGGAUUUCCUUGGUCCUCCAACUCUCUAUGGUUUCCCAUGGAUCUCCACAGUCCUCCAAAUCUCUAUGGUUCCCCAUGGAUUUCCUUGGUCCUCCAACUCUCUAUGGUUUCCCAUGGAUCUCCACAGUCCUCCAAAUCUCUAUGGUUCUUUACGGACUUCCUUAGUCCUCCAAAACUCUAUGAUUCCCUAUGGAUCUCCACGGUCCUCCAAAUCUCCAUGGUUCCCCAUGGACCUCCACGGUCCUCCAAACCUCUAUGGUUCCCCAUAAAUCCCUAAAGCAAUGAACUCUAUGGUUCCCAGUGGGCCUCCAUGGUCCUCCAAAACUCUAUGGUUGCCCAUGGUCCUCUAUGGUCCUCCAAAGCUCUAUGGUUCCCCAUGGGAGUUCCUUGGUCCUCCAAAUCUCUAUGGUUCCUCAUGGACCUCCAUAGUCCUCCAAACCUCUAUGGUUCCUUACAGACUUCCAUGGUCCUCCAAAACUCUAUGGUUCCCUAUGGAUCUCCACGGUCCUCCAAACCUCUAUGGUUCCCCAUGGGCUUCUGCAGUCCUCCAAAUCUCUAUGGUUUCCCAUGGACAUUCAGGGU
ensembl:lncRNA